rnacentral:rRNA from 1 species
CCAGACUCCUACGGGAGGCAGCAGUGGGGGAUAUUGCACAAUGGGGGGAACCCUGAUGCAGCGACGCCGCGUGGGUGAAGGAGCACCUCGGUGCGUAAAGCCCUAUCGGCAGGGAAGAAACAGACGGUACCUGACUAAGAAGCCCCGGCUAACUACGUGCCAGCAGCCGCGGUAAUACGUAGGGGGCAAGCGUUAUCCGGAUUCACUGGGUGUAAAGGGAGCGUAGACGGCCAAGCAAGCCAGGGGUGAAAGCCCGGGGCCCAACCCCGGGACUGCCCUUGGAACUGCAUGGCUGGAGUGCGGGAGGGGCAGGCGGAAUUCCUAGUGUAGCGGUGAAAUGCGUAGAUAUUAGGAGGAACACCAGUGGCGAAGGCGGCUUACUGGACUGUAACUGACGUUGAGGCUCGAAAGCGUGGGGAGCAAACAGGAUUAGAUACCCGCGUAGC